rnacentral:rRNA from 1 species
CCUACGGGGGGCAGCAGUGAGGAAUAUUGGUCAAUGGACGAGAGUCUGAACCAGCCAAGUAGCGUGAAGGAUGACUGCCCUAUGGGUUGUAAACUUCUUUUAUAUGGGAAUAAAAUGUUCCACGUGUGGGAUUUUGUAUGUACCAUAUGAAUAAGGAUCGGCUAACUCCGUGCCAGCAGCCGCGGUAAUACGGAGGAUCCGAGCGUUAUCCGGAUUUAUUGGGUUUAAAGGGAGCGUAGGUGGAUUGUUAAGUCAGUUGUGAAAGUUUGCGGCUCAACCGUAAAAUUGCAGUUGAAACUGGCAGUCUUGAGUACAGUAGAGGUGGGCGGAAUUCGUGGUGUAGCGGUGAAAUGCUUAGAUAUCACGAAGAACUCCGAUUGCGAAGGCAGUUCACUGGACUGCAACUGACACGGAGGCUCGAAAGUGUGGGUAUCAAACAGGAUUAGAUACCCGAGUAGUC